UCAAUUCGGAGUUAAAAGAAGAAGUUAUAAUCUACAGAAGUGCAGUGGCACAAUCGUAAUUUUUGCAAAGUCAAAAUUUUAAAAGCUGGUAGCUCUCUCUCUCGCUCCUUGUGACGCCGAACUUUGGCCGGUGAUUGCGUCGCCAUCCGGGGACCAUUUGCAGUGAAAUUGGUCCCAAAAGUUUUGUAUCAACGUCCUCUAUCUAACCUACCCAUUUUCCAUGCUAAAAAACCAAGGAAUUUAGGUUGGAACAGCUGGAAGUGUCGGUGAUUUUUGAAGCUUUUGACGCUACUUUCGGCGACUCCAGCCACCGUUUCCAUCAAUCGAGUUUGAAGAGUAAAGACGGAAAAGGAAGCAAAAUGAGCAAUUUUGGGAUUGAAAUAUAAUGUGAAAUCCUUGGAGCAGAAUUUCCUGUGCAGAUCAGUCAACUUGACAGAAUAUACUAUACUUCCUUAGAGUGAACUAGAUUUUGAGCCUUAUAUCGUUGGAAGGAUAAGGAUGUUAGAUUUUUGUAGAAUUUUAUGGUUCGUGAUUCAGACGUGUUUGGAGAGAGUAGUGGCCAUUUUAGUACAGACAGUUAGGACAGAAUGUGUUCUGCGGGUUUUGCAAAAUAAUCCUUUUGAAGUCCAAUUUCUGUCAAUUGCAUAUGGGAAGCGUAUAUAAGGAUGUGGAGUUAUCUUCUAAGGUCUGAUCCUAUAUUUAGUAGGAUUUUGGAUGCCAACUCGUCAAAGACAAUUGAAGCCAAACUAGGAAAGCAUAGUUACCAAGUCAAAAGAGGAUUUGUUCCUUAUUUAAUGAAGAACAGAAAAUAGGGUUCUCUUAUGCUGGACUUGAAGGAGAGUCAAAGACCCACUGCGAUCGUCAAGUUCUUAAGCAUCGUCAAAUCCAUAAGUUUUAUUUUAUGUUUUCUAGUUUUUCAAUUAUGUUUUCUUUGAACAUGAGUAACUAAAUUAUGCUCUAGGGUGAGGAUGACGCCCGAGCAUUGAUAGUUAUAAUUUCUAAUAUUAUUUAAUGGAUUCUAAGUUUCUUUUA